GUGGAACCCCGUGCGAAUCCGCCCAGACCGUUGGGUAAGCCUGAAUAUUCCUGUCUGACCGAUAGCGAACGAGUACCGUGAGGGAAAGGUGAAAAGUACCCCGGGAGGGGAGUGAAACAGUCUCUGAAACCGUGCGCCUACAAUCCGUCGGAGCCCUUUUGUGGGGUGACGGCGUGCCUAUCGAAAAAUGAGUCUGCGAGUCAGUGGCAUGUGGCGAGCAUAACCCGUGUGGGGUAUGCGUAGCGAAGGCGAGUCUUAAAAGGCGUUUGAGUCGCGUGUCCUGGACCCGAAGCGGGAUGAUCUAGCCCUGAGCAGGUUGAAGCGCGGGUAAGACCGCGUGGAGGACCGAACCCACCUGGGUUGAAAACCGGGGGGAUGACUUGGGGCUAGGGGUGAAAGGCCAAUCAAAUUCCGUGAUAGCUGGUUCUCUCCGAAAUGCAUUUGGGUGCAGCGUCGGGUCAUUACGUCCCGGGGGUAGAGCUACUGGAUGCUUGCGGGCCCGUAUCGGGUACCAACAGCAACCAAACUCCGAAUACCGGUGACGCGUAUCCCGGCAGUGAGUCGGCGGGGGAUAAGCUUCGUCGUCGAAAGGGAAACAGCCCAGACCGUCGUCUAAGGUCCCGAAGCGUGUGCUAAGUGGGAAAGGAUGUGGAGUCGCAUAGACAGCCAGGAGGUUGGCUCAGAAGCAGCCACCCUUGAAAGAGUGCGUAACAGCUCACUGGUCUAGUGGUUCCGCGCCGACAAUGUAGCGGGGCUCAAGCACACCACCGAAGACGCGGCAGUAUUUUGUACUGGGUAGGAGAGCGUCCCAUGAGGGGCGAAGCGGCCGUGUGAACGCGCCGUGGACUUCAUGGGAGUGAGAAUGCAGACAUGAGUAGCGAGAGACGGGUGAAGAUCCCGUCCGCUGGAUGACCAAGGGUUCCAGGGCCACGUUCAUCGUCCCUGGGUGAGUCGGGUCCUAAGGCGAGGCCGACAGGCGUAGUCGAAUGGAUGAACGGGUCGAUAUUCCCGUACCUGCUUUCAGCCGCCAAAACCGAGGCUUGGAGUACUAACCUCCGGGUCCGGGCUUACUGCUCCUUCGGGGGCGGGAUGCCCUGGCCUGUUGGGACCGAUCCUUGUAGUAGGUCAGCGCAGGAGUGACGCAGAAGGGUAGCCGGCCGCGGAGGUGGUCUUCCGUGGUCAAGCACGCAGGGCGUGGGACAGGCAAAUCCGUCCCGCAUGGGUCCGAGGUGCGAUGAUGGGGGCCUUAUGGCCCGAUAUCCGGUGAUCCCGGCUGCCGAGAAAAGCUUCGGCGUCAGGCUCGAAGCCGCCCGUACCCCAAACCGACACUGGUGGUCAGGUAGAGAAUACCAAAGCGAUCGAGCGAAUCCUGGUCAAGGAACUCGGCAAAUCACUCCCGUUCCUUCGGUUUAAGGGAGACCCCCGAUGGUGAACACACUUGCUGUGGGAGCUUUUGGGGGUGGCACAGACCAGGGGGUAGCGACUGUUUACCAAAAACACAGGUGCAUGCGAAGGCGCAAGCCGCUGUAUAUGCACUGACGCCUGCCCGGUGCCGGAAGGUUAAGAGGAUCCGUCAGCCUUCGGGUGAAGCGGUGAAUUCAAGCCCCGGUAAACGGCGGUGGUAACUAUAACCAUCCUAAGGUAGCGAAAUUCCUUGUCGGGUAAGUUCCGACCUGCACGAAUGGUGCAACGACUUCCCCACUGUCUCGACCAGGAGCUCGGCGAAAUUGCAGUACGAGUAAAGAUGCUCGUUAAGCGCAGAAGGACGAAAAGACCCCGGGACCUUUACUAUACCUUGGUAUUGGCAUUCGGUGUGGAUUGUGUAGCAUAGGCGGGAGGCCGAGAGGCGCGGUC
rnacentral:rRNA from 1 species